ACACAAAAAUGCACAUAUUGUGAGCUCGAUGAGUAGGGCGGGACACGUGGUAUCCUGUCUGAAUAUGGGGGGACCAUCCUCCAAGGCUAAAUACUCCUGACUGACCGAUAGUGAACCAGUACCGUGAGGGAAAGGCGAAAAGAACCCCGGCGAGGGGAGUGAAAAAGAACCUGAAACCGUGUACGUACAAGCAGUGGGAGCCUCUUAAUGGGGUGACUGCGUACCUUUUGUAUAAUGGGUCAGCGACUUAUAUUCUGUAGCAAGGUUAACCGAAUAGGGGAGCCGAAGGGAAACCGAGUCUUAACUGGGCGUUAAGUUGCAGGGUAUAGACCCGAAACCCGGUGAUCUAGCCAUGGGCAGGUUGAAGGUUGGGUAACACUAACUGGAGGACCGAACCGACUAAUGUUGAAAAAUUAGCGGAUGACUUGUGGCUGGGGGUGAAAGGCCAAUCAAACCGGGAGAUAGCUGGUUCUCCCCGAAAGCUAUUUAGGUAGCGCCUCGUGAAUUCAUCUCCGGGGGUAGAGCACUGUUUCGGCAAGGGGGUCAUCCCGACUUACCAACCCGAUGCAAACUGCGAAUACCGGAGAAUGUUAUCACGGGAGACACACGGCGGGUGCUAACGUCCGUCGUGAAGAGGGAAACAACCCAGACCGCCAGCUAAGGUCCCAAAGUCAUGGUUAAGUGGGAAACGAUGUGGGAAGGCCCAGACAGCCAGGAUGUUGGCUUAGAAGCAGCCAUCAUUUAAAGAAAGCGUAAUAGCUCACUGGUCGAGUCGGCCUGCGCGGAAGAUGUAACGGGGCUAAACCAUGCACCGAAGCUGCGGCAGCGACACUAUGUGUUGUUGGGUAGGGGAGCGUUCUGUAAGCCUGUGAAGGUGGCCUGUGAGGGUUGCUGGAGGUAUCAGAAGUGCGAAUGCUGACAUAAGUAACGAUAAAGCGGGUGAAAAGCCCGCUCGCCGGAAGACCAAGGGUUCCUGUCCAACGUUAAUCGGGGCAGGGUGAGUCGACCCCUAAGGCGAGGCCGAAAGGCGUAGUCGAUGGGAAACAGGUUAAUAUUCCUGUACUUGGUGUUACUGCGAAGGGGGGACGGAGAAGGCUAUGUUGGCCGGGCGACGGUUGUCCCGGUUUAAGCGUGUAGGCUGGUUUUCCAGGCAAAUCCGGAAAACCAAGGCUGAGGCGUGAUGACGAGGCACUACGGUGCUGAAGCGACAAAUGCCCUGCUUCCAGGAAAAGCCUCUAAGCAUCAGGUAACAUCAAAUCGUACCCCAAACCGACACAGGUGGUCAGGUAGAGAAUACCAAGGCGCUUGAGAGAACUCGGGUGAAGGAACUAGGCAAAAUGGUGCCGUAACUUCGGGAGAAGGCACGCUGAUAUGUAGGUGAAGCGACUUGCUCGUGGAGCUGAAAUCAGUCGAAGAUACCAGCUGGCUGCAACUGUUUAUUAAAAACACAGCACUGUGCAAACACGAAAGUGGACGUAUACGGUGUGACGCCUGCCCGGUGCCGGAAGGUUAAUUGAUGGGGUUAGCGGUAACGCGAAGCUCUUGAUCGAAGCCCCGGUAAACGGCGGCCGUAACUAUAACGGUCCUAAGGUAGCGAAAUUCCUUGUCGGGUAAGUUCCGACCUGCACGAAUGGCGUAAUGAUGGCCAGGCUGUCUCCACCCGAGACUCAGUGAAAUUGAACUCGCUGUGAAGAUGCAGUGUACCCGCGGCAAGACGGAAAGACCCCGUGAACCUUUACUAUAGCUUGACACUGAACAUUGAGCCUUGAUGUGUAGGAUAGGUGGGAGGCUUUGAAGUGUGGACGCCAGUCUGCAUGGAGCCGACCUUGAAAUACCACCCUUUAAUGUUUGAUGUUCUAACGUUGGCCCGUAAUCCGGGUUGCGGACAGUGUCUGGUGGG
rnacentral:rRNA from 1 species